rnacentral:lncRNA from 1 species
UCGGGGUCCUCUCUAGGAUCGCGGGAGGACUUUGCAUCCCUGUGUAGGGCUCUAAUCUCGGGUUUGGGGAUCUUGCUCCUCAGCUUGUCCGCUCCGAGGAGUUACAAUAAAAAUAGUGAUUGUCUGUGGCAGAGGAGCUGAAUGAAACGAGGGUGGAGACAGGAAGAUCAAGAAUAAAUGGUUUCACAAAUCGAAGGGAUUGUCUCUUGAGACGCUGAUUAUUUCAGUGGCACGAUUUAAUGUUUCCUAGAGGAAAUGUUCUUCCUGGAAAUGAGGAUCAUAACCCAGCUGGCUCCAGAUUUCGGAGCGAGGAGGCACAAAUUCUACAGUAUGCUUCAGGGCAACGCGAGUGGGGCUGUAAUGAAGAACAGUCUGUUUCUGGAAGAUGCCAACAUGCUGAACUGACCCAAUCCCCA